CAAAGGUAACGCAGCGCGCGCAACACACCAGCAGCAGCAGCAGUUUUUACUGUAACCGCUCGGAGUUUCCCCGCGAAUUCAAGAGGAACCCGGCGUCUCGAGCAGAAUGAAUGGUUAUCAAUGCACCAGAAACAGCACCAGAGCGAGGGAGGCUGUUAAAAAAUGCAAUGCUGGGAGUCUUUUAAAGCUUGGUUCUUCUGGCGACUUGGCACAGCUCAACUACGGAAGUCAGACCGCUGUGGGCCGAAGACGACCGAUAAAGGUCCAGACAUGAAGGAGACGGCAUGGAGUCUGUGGCAUCUCUCAAUGAGAAGAGCUUUCAGCGUGUCGCGAGCAUUCAUGGACUGUUGAGGAGAUGCAAUGGAGAGCAAAUGUCUUCUGGUGGCAAACUGGUGAAGG